rnacentral:rRNA from 1 species
GCUACACACGUGCUACAAUGGGUAGUACAGAGGGUUGCCAAACCGUAAGGUGGAGCUAAUCCCUUAAAGCUACUCUCAGUUCGGAUUGUAGGCUGAAACUCGCCUACAUGAAGCUGGAGUUACUAGUAAUCGCAGAUCAGAAUGCUGCGGUGAAUGCGUUCCCGGGUCUUGUACACACCGCCCGUCACACCACGGGAGUUGGAGACGCCCGAAGCCGAUUAUCUAACCUUUUGGAAGAAGUCGUCGAAGGUGGAAUCAAUAACUGGGGUGAAGUCGUAACAAGGUAGCCGUAUCGGAAGGUGCGGCUGGAUC